UAACCUUGGAAUGUAACGUUGUAAAUAGCGAUUCCCUCGUACUUUUACCAUUUAGUGAAUUUCUUGCCACUUGUGGAGACCUUUAGAGACCUCAAUGAUUGUUGUAUAUCCAACUUCUCUGAACGGCACACAGCACAAGUGAGCUCCAUCUCCUUUUCUUGUAAAAGUUGAUUGGGAGAAAUGACUCUCAUAACCUUUAUUAGUUAGCCUCAAUUUGGCCUUAAUUUAAGCCAUAACGUUGUAUUUUACAGGGUUUAUUAAACUUGAAGAGGCGUUUAUUCUCUAGGCAACCUCCACUGGCUUCAUAACAGAGGCGAAGGACAACUUGAGUAGAGCUGUGCCUGUCCUGGUCCACAAGUGCUAGGGUGUAGCUACUGAUCCUAUACUACAGCAGAGAGAGUGAGAGGGAGAGGGAGGGACAUCAGGUGUCACAGCUCUGCAACCCCAGUUGAGGCUGCAUUACCACGACAACCAGCUCCAGGGGCACCGCCAGCUCUCUGCCUCCGCCAGCCCAGCACCCAGCCAGCCGCCCAGCCAGAUAUCCAGCUAUCUACCCAUCCAUCCACCCACCCAGCCAGCCAGUCGGCCAGGCCGGCCCUGCCCUGCCCGGAACUGGCAACCUGCAGGAGUCAUCAGGGCGACAUGAAAAAAGGCAAAGAGGAUGUUUGUUGGGGCUAUUGAAAUACUAAUUUACUAAGCUGUCACAGAUGUAGCGAAGAUUAGGGGAGAGAGGAAGAGGGAGAGCUGACUCUGUACCCCCGAGGAGAACGCAAUGAGAUGGAACCACUUGUCUCCUGCGUCUCUAACGAAAAACCACUUCCACCAUCAGAGCGUCAUCUGCUGGCUCGGUGGGGCGGGACAGCUGGUGUUGUGAAUCAGGCCGCCACAGUCCAGGGAACGGCUACUUCCCAACACCAGGUUCUCACCACCACCUCUCACAUCUUUCAUCUUCUCACACCUUCAUCUUUGGUGUGAUGUAAUUCGUCAGCAAAUAUUUUAAAUUGGUAUUUUAUACUCUUUUGCAUCUGUUUGUACUGAUAAUUAUUUGAAAUACUGGUACUUAUUUGUCCAAAUCGUCUUCUUUUUGUAGUAUAUUUUUUCUGCAUCAUGUCCUUUUAAGAUAUAAAUUGGAAACAUGUAACAGAAAAUUUCCUAACUAAGUAUACAAACAGGUUAAUGACAGUAAUUUAUAAUUACCACAGUAUUUUCCUAAAUGUAUUAAUAAAUAAAUCCUCUACAUUGUAAAAAAAAUAUAUAUAUGUGGUUUUAUACCUAGUGUGUAAAAUAUUAUGAAAUCACAUGGAAAUUAAAUAAAGUUUUCAUGAUGUCAUUUGUUUGAAAAUGUUUGUCACUUUGCACUCGUUGUAUUUUGUUCAAAAUUAUUGCAUUUAUUUACACAGAUUACACAGAUCACAGAUCAGAUUGUUUUCCAAACAAUGAAUUAGGACUAAAUACUCCACACAUUUGUGGCUUUACAGUUACAUUCUUAACAGACAGCUGUUAGUUGUAAUUGGUUGACAGUGGUGUCCCACUGGGCUCUAUUACUGGACCUUUGUUUAUUUGUUUUUUCUGGUCUAUUGACAUUUACAAAAAAUAUUUGGGUGGUCCCAACAUACUUUCCUCCACCAACUCCAAUCAUUGGUUCCCUUUAAAAAAUGCAAUUAAGUAACAAGAUCUCCAUCACUGGCAAAGUGAAUUGUUUCAUUUACAGGUAUCAUUUUUUUGGGAUGACCGAU